GACGUAGGGGGCCAGCGUUGUUCGGAAUUACUGGGUGUAAAGGGUUCGUAGGCGGUGUGGCAAGUCGGGAGUGAAAUCUCUGGGCUCAACCCAGAGUCUGCUUCCGAAACUGCUGUGCUUGAGUGUGGGAGAGGCGCGUGGAAUUGCAGGUGUAGCGGUGAAAUGCGUAGAUAUCUGCAGGAACACCCGUGGCGAAAGCGGCGCGCUGGACCACUACUGACGCUGAGGAGCGAAAGCCAGGGGAGCAAACGGG
rnacentral:rRNA from 1 species